rnacentral:rRNA from 1 species
GACGAACGCUGGCGGCGUGCUUAACACAUGCAAGUCGAACGGAAAGGCCCUGCUUUUGUGGGGUGCUCGAGUGGCGAACGGGUGAGUAACACGUGAGUAACCUGCCCUUGACUUUGGGAUAACUUCAGGAAACUGGGGCUAAUACCGGAUAGGAGCUCCUGCUGCAUGGUGGGGGCUGGAAAGUUUCGGCGGUUGGGGAUGGACUCGCGGCUUAUCAGCUUGUUGGUGGGGUAGUGGCUUACCAAGGCUUUGACGGGUAGCCGGCCUGAGAGGGUGACCGGCCACACGGGAACGGAGACACGGGCCAGAGUACUACGGGAGGCAGCAGUAGGGAAGCGUCCGCAAGGGGCGAAAGCCUGACGGAGCAACGCCGCGUGAGUGACGAAGGUCUUCGGAGCGUAAAACGCUGUUAUGAGGGAAGAACAUAUGUGUAAGUAACUGUGCACAUCGUGACGGUACCUAAUCAGAAAGCCACGGCUAACUACGUG